rnacentral:pre_miRNA from 1 species
UGUAAACAUCCUACACUCUCAGCUGUGACUUUGCGGUGGCUGGGAGAAGGUUGUUUACGCC